GCGUCUGUAGCCAAGCGGUAUGGCAACUAGCUUGUCAAGUCGGAUACACGGGUUCGAGUCCCGUUACCUGUU
rnacentral:tRNA from 1 species